rnacentral:rRNA from 1 species
UACGAAGGGGGCUAGCGUUGCUCGGAAUCACUGGGCGUAAAGGGUGCGUAGGCGGGUUUUUAAGUCAGGGGUGAAAUCCUGGAGCUCAACUCCAGAACUGCCUUUGAUACUGAAGAUCUUGAGUCCGGGAGAGGUGAGUGGAACUGCGAGUGUAGAGGUGAAAUUCGUAGAUAUUCGGAAGAACACCAGUGGCGAAGGCGGCUCACUGGCCCGGUACUGACGCUGAGACGCGAAAGCGUGGGGAGCAAACAGG